rnacentral:lncRNA from 1 species
UCGUGUCCUCUGCCCUCACCUUGCAUCCUGGUGUUUCGAGUCCUCUGCCAUCACCUCCACAAAUCCACCGUCUGCCCUCACCUCUCGUCCUAUCGUCUUCGCGUCCUGACUACUCCACAAAUCCAUCAUUGCUUGCAGUUGGUUCGUGUCCUCUCGCGAUUCUCAGCGAAUCAAUCACUGUUGGUUCGUGUCCUCUCUCAAGGUCGAGCAUUUCUCUGCUCAAAUCCGCUGUGAACAAGCCCACCCUUAAACCCAAUCCUAUUCCUUCCUCACAGCUCCUUUCUCGCUCAUUUCUUACAUCUCCAAGGCAAUUCCUUUUGCAACCCUUCCAAUGCUUGUUUCAUUUUUUUUUUUCCAGAAUAUUUUUAAUUUGAAUGUUGAUUGUUGCAGUUGAGGUUG